rnacentral:rRNA from 1 species
UAUUAAAUCAUUAGGUAGUAAUAUAAACCAAUAUGUAUUGGCGGUCUUUAUACUUUAGAGAAACUCGCUUUAUAAUCGUAAAUACCCGUUAAUUUUAACUUUAUUUAAUAAGCCUAUAUACCGCCGUUUAGAAUAUAAUACAUAACAUUAUUCAAAAUCUUAACCAAGAGAAAAUCAGGUCAAGGUGUAGCUAAUAACAAAGAAAAAGUAAGUUACAUUAAAAAUAAUUUAAGGACUCCAUAUAAAAACAAAUACAAAAAAGAAUUUAUUAGUACGGAGCAGUUAAAAUCUAACCCCGAAAUACUCAUUUAAAGAUGC